rnacentral:lncRNA from 1 species
UUCUCGGAACACACGAGGCUUGACCUUCUUGUUGAAUGCUUUUUCACUCUCUGCUGAUAUGACUGACCAUGACACAUGGCAGUUAGUCUCUUCUUUUCGAUUGGAUUCACUUGGUCGUAAUGACUCUGAAUCCAUUCAGCAUCAGUCAACUUGGGACUUUGAAGGGUGCUACUUCUCUUUUGUUUCUUUCUUUCUUUUUUCUUUUGAUUUGAUUUCUUUU